UGGAAAAAAUAUACAUGUUAUUUUUUUCUCUUCUUUUAAUCUGUUCUGGGUGCUUUGAUAAUAUCACAUAUUUGACAGAGCAUUUUGAUAUCAACAGAACAAUCAAGUUGUAAUUAAAAAUCUGUACCAUGACUCAGGCAGGUCAUGAGUUUCAUAUUGUGUCGAUUUUAAGCAAUACAUCCAAUAAGUUUACUUUUAUAUUUUCUCAGUGUGAGACAAUAAUGAGAGUUGGCUUUAGUCUAUCUGAAUCUUGGCUCCAUUAAACUCCCACACAGCGGAAAGUCACUUAAGAGUCAUGUACAAUGACGAUUUGUUCUGAUGGUUCUGCCCUUGAUGGUCAAUCACAAUCUCAUGGUGUGCAGCUGUGCUGAACUGAUCCAUAAAUAGCUGCUCUUGUAUGGUGGAGAGGAUGCUUCAGUUUGAUCUGUUGACGCUGCUGUGUUUCACCUUCUGAAGAGGACCCGGGGAGAACAUUCAUAUAGAUUCAAGUGACAAAACAACAUUAUGGAUGGAUAAGUGCUGCAUCCACACAUAUCACCAUGCCCCUCCCUCCUCCUACCCCUUUCCAUACCUCCUCACUGUCUCACCAAAUAUCUCAAACACUUUACAAACACCACACGUAUCCAUUUCCUCUGCUCUCUGCUUUGGCGACAUUGAAAUGAAGAACAAUCCUAUGCAUUUCUGUUGUUCCCUCAGUGCGAUGUAUAGUGUGUAAUGCAGUAGUGCCAUCUGUCUUGAAGACCUUGUAAUAGCCAUCCAGUCGUGCUGCUCUACAUCUCAGAAGCUUUUAGUUAGUUGGGAAUACGAAGCCACCAAGUCCUCCUUGCCAUAGCGUCGUGAUUCGCCCCAGUCUCACCUCUCAGUGAACCAGCCUAUGAUCUCCUCUAUUUGUUUCUUAAUCAUUCAAUGGGAAAUUAUCUGAAAUAAAGACAUUUUAAGUCAAAUUGUAUAUGUAGAAUCUAUAGAGUAAUCAUAGAGAUUUUAUUAAAGUGGAUAAUGCUAUUGUUCUAUCUAUAUUAUGAUGAAAUGCUAUACUAGGGGAGAAUAGUUUCUGUCUGUGUACUGUACUGCAUGUACAGUAGGAAUAUGCUGUAAAGGAAAAUACUUUGCUUGUUCGCAAUUGUUUUAGUUUUUUUACUUGUUUUCUUUUUAUUAUGUUUAUUUACAAGAGACAAAUGUUCAAACAAAGUUAUUGGGUGAUUUAUUUUGUCUCUGGAGUUGAACUAAAGGUUGAUUAAACAGCCAAUGAAACAACAGAUAUGGAAUACACAGGCCUCCUCACAUGGGAUUUUUGACCUUUGUUAAGUCCCUGGCUUUCUCAGGGCUCCACAUUCAGCAGUACAUGAACAUUUCUGUACUGGACAUUUCUGCUUUAGGACCAUACAUUCAGGAAGUCCUACACAGGCUGUAGCUGCAGGUCUGCUCACUCCGGAGGGUAAAAUAACAGCCAUGCAGCCCUGCAGCAGGACACAGGAUGUGGCUGGUUACCCUUAGGACAGUAUAUAUUUGAGUCGUGGGUUUGUGCCGUAUCGCACCUUUUUACUCGAUCACUGUGUACAGUUAAGGGGUAACGUGGGGGCUAGAUGACUAGUACAGCUCUGUUUUGAAGCCAAUCGGAGAGCCAUACUCAAAGCAAAGUGUCACAGUAGAUGAAAACAGAGCCCUGUGACUGCAUAGUUCUAUGCUAUACUUUGAUGUUAUUUUAGCAAUAAAGGUGUGUGUGGCCAAAAGGGAGUCUUAAGAAGGGGAAUACACUGUAAGAAGGAUAUUUUAUGGUACUACUAUGAUAAAAAAAAAAACAUAGAACUGCAUAUGAUUAGAGAUUCUGUGAA